rnacentral:rRNA from 1 species
AAAGGCAGGUCUAGUAUAGGGCAAUUAUACCGUGAAACUGCGAAUGGCUCAUUAAAUCAGUUAUCGUUUAUUUGAUAGUACCUUACUACUUGGAUAACCGUGGUAAUUCUAGAGCUAAUACAUGCUAAAAACCCCGACUUCGGGAGGGGUGUAUUUAUUAGAUAAAAAACCAACGCCCUUCGGGGCUCCUUGGUGAAUCAUAAUAACUUAACGGAUCGCAUGGCCUUGCGCCGGCGACGGUUCAUUCAAAUUUCUGCCCUAUCAACUUUCGAUUGUAGGGUAUUGGCCUACAAUGGUAUCAACGGGUAACGGGGAAUUAGGGUUCGAUUCCGGAGAGGGAGCCUGAGAAACGGCUACCACAUCCAAGGAAGGCAGCAGGCGCGCAAAUUACCCAAUCCCGACACGGGGAGGUAGUGACAAUAAAUACUGAUACAGGGCUCUUUUGGGUCUUGUAAUUGGAAUGAGUACAAUUUAAAUCCCUUAACGAGGAACAAUUGGAGGGCAAGUCUGGUGCCAGCAGCCGCGGUAAUUCCAGCUCCAAUAGCGUAUAUUAAAGUUGUUGCAGUUAAAAAGCUCGUAGUUGAACCUUGGGUCUGGCUGGCCGGUCCGCCUCACCGCGUGCACUGGUCCGGCCGGACCUUUCCUUCUGGAGAACCGCAUGCCCUUCACUGGGUGUGUCGGGGAACCAGGACUUUUACUUUGAAAAAAUUAGAGUGUUCAAAGCAGGCCUUUGCUCGAAUACAUUAGCAUGGAAUAAUAGAAUAGGACGUGCGGUCCUAUUUUGUUGGUUUCUAGGACCGCCGUAAUGAUUAAUAGGGAUAGUCGGGGGCAUCAGUAUUCAAUUGUCAGAGGUGAAAUUCUUAGAUUUAUUGAAGACUAACUACUGCGAAAGCAUUUGCCAAGGAUGUUUUCAUUAAUCAGUGAACGAAAGUUAGGGGAUCGAAGACGAUCAGAUACCGUCGUAGUCUUAACCGUAAACUAUGCCGACUAGGGAUCGGGCGAUGUUAUUCUUUUGACUCGCUCGGCACCUUACGAGAAAUCAAGUUUUGGGUUCUGGGGGGGAGUAUGGUCGCAAGGCUGAACUUAAAGGGAAUUGACGGAAAGAGCAA